AUUGAACGCUGGCGGCAGGCCUAACACAUGCAAGUCGAGCGGAUGAAGGGAGCUUGCUCCUGGAUUCAGCGGCGGACGGGUGAGUAAUGCCUAGGAAUCUGCCUGGUAGUGGGGGAUAACGUCCGGACACGGGCGCUAAUACCGCAUACGUCCUGAGGGAGAAAGUGGGGGAUCUUCGGACCUCACGCUAUCAGAUGAGCCUAGGUCGGAUUAGCUAGUUGGUGGGGUAAAGGCCUACCAAGGCGACGAUCCGUAACUGGUCUGAGAGGAUGAUCAGUCACACUGGAACUGAGACACGGUCCAGACUCCUACGGGAGGCAGCAGUGGGGAAUAUUGGACAAUGGGCGAAAGCCUGAUCCAGCCAUGCCACGUGUGUGAAGAAGGUCUUCGGAUUGUAAAGCACUUUAAGUUGGGAGGAAGGGCAGUAAGUUAAUACCUUGCUGUUUUGACGUUACCAACAGAAUAAGCACCGGCUAACUUCGUG
rnacentral:rRNA from 1 species